rnacentral:pre_miRNA from 15 species
GUACAUGUACUUUGUAAAUCCGAACGUGUAUAUGUAUACACAAAUAUAAAUGUUUGUAUUUAUGUAUAUAUAUU